UUUAAGAUCGUGCUCGUAGGCGGCGAUAAGUAACAUAAUCCCGAGGCCUGUCGAUAAACCUAAAGUCUGCCAAAUGCACUGCAGUCGCGAACCACUUUCCGCGGAAUGACUCGAUGUCAAUUCUGGUACCUGAAAAAAAAGAGCGGCAACUGCAAAUACCCAGCUGGUUGCAUCGGUAGUGCUUCCCAACAAUAUUCCACCAAUCAUACCUAAUAGACAGAGCACUGAAGAUAAUAAAUUGUAAAAAACAGCCUGUUUGGUACUCAUGCCCGCUUUUAACAACACUGCAAAGUCACCUGCACAAGAACAUUAAUAUUACUACAUUACUAAUUAUACAUAUAUAUAUUUAUAGAUAUAUUAUCAUGGAACAAGGAGACAAUACCGAGUUCGUGAGGCAACUCAUGACAGAGGACAGCGAUAGCCGUGGAGAAUCCACCUGCGAUGUUUGCCGAAAAAGCUGCACCGAUAGCCAUACCAUCCGUAAAAU